rnacentral:rRNA from 1 species
UACGGGGGGGGCAAGCGUUGUUCGGAAUUACUGGGCGUAAAGGGCUCGUAGGCGGCCAACUAAGUCAGACGUGAAAUCCCUCGGCUUAACCGGGGAAUGGCGUCUGAUACUGGAUGGCUUGAAUCCGGGAGAGGGAUGCGGAAUUCCAGGUGUAGCGGUGAAAUGCGUAGAUAUCUGGAGGAACACCGGUGGCGAAGGCGGCAUCCUGGACCGGCAUUGACGCUGAGGAGCGAAAGCGUGGGGAGCGAACAGG